rnacentral:pre_miRNA from 1 species
UGGGCAUGGUGGUGGUGAUGGUGAUGGUGAUGAUGCAGUGGACGGGGGGUGCGGCGGCGAGGCAUCAUCAUCAUCAUCAUCAUCAUAAGAA